rnacentral:rRNA from 1 species
ACGGAAGGCAGCAGUGGGGGAUAUUGCACAAUGGGCGAAAGCCUGAUGCAGCAACGCCGCGUGAGGGAAGACGGUUUUCGGAUUGUAAACCUUUGUCUUUGGUGACGAAAAAGAUGACGGUAACCAAGGAGGAAGCCACGGCUAACUACGUGCCAGCAGCCGCGGUAAUACGUAGGUGGCGAGUGUCGUCCGGAAUUACUGGGUGUAAAGGGAGCGUAGGCGGGGAGGCAAGUCAGUUGUGAAAUACAUGGGCUUAACCGAUGGAUUGCAGUUGAAACUGUGGCUCUUGAGAGAAGUAGAGGUAAGCGGAAUUCCGAGUGUAGCGGUGAAAUGCGUAGAUAUUCGGAGGAGCACCGGUGGCGAAGGCGGCCUACUGGGCUUCAACUGACGCUGAGGCUCGAAAGUGUGGGGAGCAAACAGGAUUAGAUACCCUGGUA